UACGGGGGGGGCAAGCGUUGUUCGGAAUUACUGGGCGUAAAGGGCUCGUAGGUGGCCAACUAAGUCAGACGUGAAAUCCCUCAGCUUAACUGGGGAACUGCGUCUGAUACUGGAUGGCUUGAGUUUGGGAGAGGGAUGCGGAAUUCCAGGUGUAGCGGUGAAAUGCGCAGAGAUCGGGAGGAACACCAAAGGCGAAAGCAGGUACCUGGACCAUUACUGACACUCAGCUGCGAAAGCUAGGGGAGCAAACAGG
rnacentral:rRNA from 1 species